rnacentral:rRNA from 1 species
AAUUUUGUACACUGGGCGCAAGCCUGAUCCAGCCAUGUCGCGUGAGUGAAGUAGGCCUUCGGGUCGUAUAGCUCUCUCGUACGGAGAGAAAUCUCUCUGCCGAAUACCCUGCUCGGAUGACGGUACCCUCAUUAUAAGCAACGCCGAACUAACUGUCAGCAGCCGCGGUAAUACGUACGGUGCGAGCGUUAACCGGAAUUACUGGGCGUGAAGCGUGAGCAGGCGGUUGAUUAAGACAGGCGUGAAAUCCCCGGGCUUAACCUAGGAACUGCGCUUGUGACUGGUCAGCUAGAGUACGGCAGAGGGGGGUGGAAUUCCACGUGUAGCAGUGAAAUGCGUAGAGAUGUGGAGGAACACCGAUGGCGAAGGCAGCCCCCUGGGCCGAUACUGACGCUCAUGCACGAAAGCGUGGGUAGCAAACAGG